rnacentral:rRNA from 1 species
CAGCAGCCACGGUAAUACGUAGGGUGCAAGCGUUAAUCGGAAUUACUGGGCGUAAAGCGUGCGCAGGCGGUUAUAUAAGACAGAUGUGAAAUCCCCGGGCUCAACCUGGGAACUGCAUUUGUGACUGUAUAGCUAGAGUACGGCAGAGGGGGAUGGAAUUCCGCGUGUAGCAGUGAAAUGCGUAGAUAUGCGGAGGAACACCGAUGGCGAAGGCAAUCCCCUGGGCCUGUACUGACGCUCAUGCACGAAAGCGUGGGGAGCAAACAGGAUUAGAUACCCCGGUAGUCCCUGUCUCUUAUAC